rnacentral:SRP_RNA from 1 species
GCCGGGCGCGAUGGUGCGUGCCUGUAGUCCCAGCUACUCGGGAGGCUGAGGUGGGAGGAUCGCUUGAACACAGGAGUUCUGGGCUGCAGUAUGCUAUGCCUAUCGGGUGUCCACAUUAAGCUCAGCAUCAAUAUGGUGACCUUCCCGGAGUGGGGAACCGCCGGUUUGCCUACAGAGGGGUCAACCAGUCCAGGUCGGAAACGGAGCAGGUCAAAACUCCCAUGUUGAUCAGUAGUGGGAUCAUGCCUGUGAAUAGCUAUUGCACUCCAGCCUGGGCAACAUAGCGAGACCCUUGUCUCU